AUUCACAGAAAAACAGCUCGUUUAGAGAUCGAGUGUCCGGGUAAACAUCUAAACACUUAAACAUAUAAGCUGCGAUCGCCAGUUGGGGACCGGCUGUUAUCAACCAGCCUCCCCCACCUCCCCUUCCAUUUCGCAGAAGAGUGCGAAAAACCCUAACAAAAGACAACUUGAAUGGUGCCAAGUGGGGAGCGCAGUCGUGUUGCCAUGUUGGAGCCAAAGCCAACGAAGACAGUGAGCUUCUCUCUCCGUAGCCUCUCUUUGCGCACUUGGACUUUCUUCGCAGCUUAAUGGAUAUGGAUAAGAGCCCGCAGAAGACUCUGCCACAAAGGUCACUCGCUUAGAAGGCAGCUUUCGAAGGCAGCACGUGUCCGGGCCAAUGCAGUUGUUAAAUUAACAAUGUUACUUGACAUUCCCAAGGGUCCCGGAUUCAGAUAACCUUCAAUUGGUCUUGAUUUACUUGCCUUAACUGGGCCACACACACGAAACGGAUUGCAAUUUCACUUGGAGCUGAAAAA
rnacentral:sRNA from 1 species